UUGAGGCAGCAGGCGAGAAAGAUGAUUUGAUUGACUUGGACUUGCAGGAAGAUGUCUCAACAAGUUGUCAAAAUGAGGAAGGGAAGGCGAAACGAAGGAAAUGAUCAAAUAUGUGGAGUUUCUUUAAGAUGCUUCUUGAUUCUGAAAACAUUGAUGAUGAUAACAUUGACAAGCCAUGUGUCAAGUGCAAAAUGUGUGGACAAACAUAUUUCAUAGCGAACAAAUAUGAAACUGAAAAUUUGAAGUGUCACAUAAACUCAUGCCCUAGAAGAAGUUCACGAGAUAUUAGUCAGUUGAUGUUAGUACAAAAUAGUGGAUCUUUGUUGAAACACAUGAAAUGAAGUUGGAUGAGCUAAUUGAAGAUGUUAUAGAGUUCCAUACCAGCAAGACGAUGGAGGACGCUUCAAUUCCUUCUAUAAAUCAUUCAAAAGUUUAGUUGUGUUUAUUAUUAUUCGGAUUGUAACUUUAAUGUUAUUACAAUAUAUUUAUGUU